GGGCGAUUAGCUCAACUGGCUAGAGCGUCUGUCUUACAAACAGAAGGUUAGUGGUUCGAGUCCACUAUCGCCCA
rnacentral:tRNA from 1 species